CAAAGGCUUGGUCCUGACUUUACUAUCAGCUCUAGCUGGAUUUACACAUGCAAGUAUCUGCACCCCUGUGAGAAUGCCCACCCCCGUUUUCCACCACGAAAAUAAGGAGCUGGUAUCAGGCACACUUUUGUAGCCCACGACACCUUGCUUUGCCACACCCCCAAGGGAACUCAGCAGUGACAAACAUUAAGCUAUGAGCGAAAGCUUGACUUAGUUAAAGCUAAGAGGGCCGGUAAAACUCGUGCCAGCCACCGCGGUUAUACGAGGGGCCCAAGUUGAUAGAUAACGGCGUAAAGGGUGGUUAGGGAACAUCAUAUAGUAAAGCCGAACGUCUUCAAUGUUGUUAUAAGCUCUCGAAGAUUGGAAGCCCCACCACGAAAGUGGCUUUACCGCUCCUGAACCCACGAAAGCCAGGGAACAAACUGGGAUUAGAUACCCCACUAUGCCUGGCCAUAAACACUGAUAUGAUCUUACACGCAUUAUCCGCCUGGGUACUACGAGCGCUAGCUUAAAACCCAAAGGACUUGGCGGUGCUUUAGACCCACCUAGAGGAGCCUGUUUCUAUAACCGAUAAUCCCCGUUCAACCUCACCCUUCCGUUUAUCUGCCUAUAUACCGCCGUCGCCAGCCCAUCCUGUGAAGGAUCUAUAGUGGGCUAGUCUGGUACUGCCUCUAAUGACAGGUCGAGGUGUAGCAUGUGGAAGGGGAAGCAAUGGGCUACAUUCGCUGCCUCAGUGAACUACGAACGGCACAGUGAAAGCUGUGCCUGAAGGUGGAUUUAGCAGUAAGGGGGGAGUAGAGUGCCCCUCUGAACUUGGCUCUGAAGUGUGCACACAUCGCCCGUCACUCUCCCCGAAUCAGUCUCUGACAAGUAAUUAACACCUUGACGCCGUAGAGGGGAGGCAAGUCGUAACACGGUAAGUGUACCGGAAGGUGCACUUGGACAAAC
rnacentral:ncRNA from 1 species